CUUCUGUUGUGGAAGUCAUUGGAAGAAUAGCCUCCCUGUGGGUAUUGAGUUGGUAUCCAGAAUCAGGGAGGAAACUUCCAUCCUAUGGUCUUCCUGCAGUUAUACCACUGCCAAUCCAGCAAAGUUUAUCUGGAAAAGGUAACACACCACCUGAGAGCUGUCUGACCUGUUCCACUGAGAUGCUCUGAAGUGUGGAACCACCACGGGAUCCAUGCUAUCUAGGAAUGGGAUGAGAAGAUUGAGACCAAGGACCUCAGCAUGGGGUUUCUUGGGGAUUUUCCUUGUAGUGGGUCUUUUAUUUUCCCCCAUCCUGUUAGCAGAUGUAAAAGCCCUUUAUGAAGCUGCAGAAGUUCCACAGACUCAUUGAGGUUUAAGCCUUAUCUCUGAAAUCAAACAGGUCGCCUCUGAAAAUUCAUUAGCAUUAAGAAGGAACUAGAUUCUGCUUAUGAAAAAGUUAUACAACAGACUGAAGGAUUUCCACCCACAGCUACCUUCUAUAAAUCUGAAGUUAUUAAUCAUAGGUAUCAUUUGGGGAAUGAUUCCAGUUAAUAUUCCAUAUUAAAG